GUGUGAAUGGCAAUACAUAUACUAAAAUUGGAGCGAUACAGAAAAGAUUAGCAUGGCCCCUGCGCAAGGAUGACACACAAAUUUGUGGAGCAUUCCAUAUUUUG